GACGAACGCUGGCGGCGUGCCUAAUACAUGCAAGUAGGACGCAGUUGCGAACGGGUGAGUAACGCGUAGGUCACUGCCUAUUAGAGGGGGCUAACUAUUGGAAACGAUAGCUAAUACCGCAUACUAGUAGAUGGACCUGCGUUGGAUGUGCUAGUAGGUAGGGUAAUGGCCUACCUAGGCGACGAUACAUAGCCGACCUGAGAGGGGGAUCGGCAAAACGGGGACGGAGACACGGACCAGACUCCGAAGGGAGGCAGCAGGAGGGAGUCUUCGGCAAUGGGGGGAAGCCUGACCGAGCAAAGCCGCGGGAGUGAAGAAGGUUUUCGGAUCGGAAAGCGCUGGUGUUAAGGAAGCGGUACUUAACCAGAAAGGGACGGCUAACUACGUGCCAGCAGCCGCGGUAAUAC
rnacentral:rRNA from 1 species